GUGGGGUAUAAGACACCAUGCUUCGUUCCCUUUUCUUGCUUUCUUUCUGGCUCUGAAUUGAAGUCAACUGGAUCUGGGGCCUUCUGAGUUUCUCUACUUACUGCUAUUUCACUCCUGUAUUUUCCUCGUCUAUUCAAGUAGCAGGAAAGAGAAGACCUCCUUCUACCACAGUUCAUUCUGGAAGCAGAAUCAGGAAGAAAGCAAGGACGUGGCACUAGAAGAUAGAUGCUGAAUACUUCAGCUUCCACCAAGGAUGGUCUCUUGAAGAUAGUGAAGGAUAAAAAUGCUAGAAUACCUUCAGCAGUUCACUUCCUCAAACCACCACCACCUGAAUGGAAAAUAGAGAGAACUGAUCUGAAAGCUGGCCACCACCUAUGCUGGUAAUACCAAAAGACAUAAAGACCAUUAACUGUCUUCCUUUUUCAAACCAGAAGGGAGCCCCUUUUGUGUCCCUUGAACAAAG
rnacentral:lncRNA from 1 species